rnacentral:rRNA from 1 species
GAUGAACGCUGGCGGCGUGCCUAAUACAUGCAAGUCGAGCGAAUGGAUUAAGAGCUUGCUCUUAUGAAGUUAGCGGCGGACGGGUGAGUAACACGUGGGUAACCUGCCCAUAAGACUGGGAUAACUCCGGGAAACCGGGGCUAAUACCGGAUAACAUUUUGAACCGCAUGGUUCGAAAUUGAAAGGAGGCUUCGGCUGUCACUUAUGGAUGGACCCGCGUCGCAUUAGCUAGUUGGUGAGGUAACGGCUCACCAAGGCAACGAUGCGUAGCCGACCUGAGAGGGUGAGCGGCCACACUGGGACUGAGACACGGCCCAGACUCCUACGGGAGGCAGCAGUAGGGAAUCUUCCGCAAUGGACGGAAGUCUGACGGAGCAACGCCGCGUGAGUGAUGAAGGCUUUCGGGUCGUAAAACUCUGUUGUUAGGGAAGAACAAGUGCUAGUUGAAUAAGCUGGCACCUUGACGGUACCUAACCAGAAAGCCACGGCUAACUACGUGCCAGCCGCCGCCGUAA